rnacentral:rRNA from 1 species
ACGCUCGACACCUACGGGGGGCAGCAGUGGGGAAUAUUGCACAAUGGGGGAAACCCUGAUGCAGCGACGCCGCGUGGAGGAAGAAGGUCUUCGGAUUGUAAACUCCUGUUGUUGGGGAAAAAGAGGAUGGUACCCAACAAGGAAGUGACGGCUAACUACGCGCCAGCAGCCGACGGUAAUCUGAGGCGGGCUGGCAAGGC